UAUAAGAUGCCUGAUUAAAAGGAUAAUUUUGAUAGAAUUAAUCAUGUGAAAAUUCACUCUUAUAA
rnacentral:tRNA from 1 species